rnacentral:rRNA from 1 species
AUCAACGCUGGCGGCGUGCCUAACACAUGCAAGUCGAACGAGAAAGUGGAGCAAUCCAUGAGUACAGUGGCGAACGGGUGAGUAACACGUGACUAACCUGCCUUCGAGUGGGGGAUAACCUCGGGAAACCGGGGCUAAUACCGCAUAACAUCCUCAGGGUGCAAUUCCCAGGGGACCAAAGGCGUAAGACGCUUGAAGAGGGGGUCGCGGCUGAUUAGCUAGUUGGUGAGGUAAUGGCUCACCAAGGCGAAGAUCGGUAGCCGGCCUGAGAGGGCGCACGGCCACACUGGAACUGAAACACGGUCCAGACUCCUACGGGAGGCAGCAGUGGGGAAUUUUGCGCAAUGGGGGAAACCCUGACGCAGCAACGCCGCGUGGAGGAUGAAGCCCCUUGGGGCGUAAACUCCUUUCGAUCGGGACGAUUAUGACGGUACCGGAUGAAGAAGCACCGGCUAACUCUGUGCCAGCAGCCGCGGUAAUACAGAGGGUGCGAGCGUUGUUCGGAAUUAUUGGGCGUAAAGGGCGCGUAGGCGGUGCGGCAAGUCACCUGUGAAACCUCUG